GGGGGGAGUGCAGGAUCCUGGGCUGUGUCCCCGGUGCCCUGGGCUCCGGGGCUUGCGCUGCUGGGAUCUCGCUCCCGGGCCGCAGCUUCCG
rnacentral:pre_miRNA from 1 species